UGCCGGGGCCUCGGCUCCGCGGGUGUCAUCUGGCGGCCUGCAGUUCCAAGCGACUUGGGGUCCUUGUGCCUUGGAGUGGCGUCUGGGGAGCAAGGGCAGCGGAAGCAACCCCGCAGUUGAGGACAGUAGGUAUCGGUGGCUUUGGACCCUGCCCGCGGAGACCUGGGGCCCCAUGCCCCGAAGAAAUGGUGCCACCUGUCCUCCCCCGCCCCCCCACCUCCGCCACCUCACCGAAGCGCCCGGCACCUUAGCCUCCUCUCCAGGAAACCGGACCCCUUUUCUGGCACACCGUGGAUUCCGGGACCCCCAACAAAGGCUCCUUGGACCUUCAGGACACCCCUCCUUUCAGAACUUCUUGAGCCCCAGGUGCUAGACUCGUGUCUGCGGAGGCCUUUCCCGUGCCUGGUCUUACUUUCUUUCUUAAAGGAGUUGGAACUCUAAAGGCCCUUCUGACUCUCAAGAGGGAAUCCUGCUCCCUCGCCCAGGCUGGAGGGCAGUGGCACGAUCUCGGCUCACUGCAAACCCCGGGUUCAAGUGAUUCUCCUGCCUCAGCCUCCUUAGUAGCUGGAUCACAGACGCGCGCUACCACGCCCAGCUAAUUUUUGUAUUUUUAGUAGAGGUGGGGUUUCAACAUGUUGGCCAGGCUGGUCGCGGAACUCCCGAACUCAAGUGAUCCGCCCUCCUCGGCCUCCCAAAGUGCUGGGAUUACAAGCGUGAGCCACCGCGCUUGGCCUGCAAUUUUGAAUAGAGCCGUCAGCAUGGGCCUCAUUUAUAAAAUGACUUUAAAUCGGAGACCUGAAAGAGCUGAGGGAGUCAGCCAUGCAGUUGACUGGGGAAGAGUGUCCUUGGUGAACGGCCCUGAGACAAAAGCCUCGGGAAGUGUUAGAAAGAAUGAGGAGGCCAGGACGGUUAGAGCAGUGAGCAAAUGGGAGCGGAAUGAGGAGAUAAGAUCAGAGAGGGAUCUCAAGUAGGGAGCUGUAAGAAUCUUGGCUGAAACAGAACCACUGCUGGGCUUUGAACAGAGGAGUGAUAGGAUCUGACUUGCGCUUUCAAAACAUCACUCUGGUCAGAUCACUGUGGCCGCCGUGCUAAGAGCAGACCUAAGAGGACAAUGGUGGAAGCCAGAGGCUCCAUUACCCAGGUACAGAAUGAUGGCUCGAACCAGAUGGUAGCAAUGAAUAAGAUGGAUAAGAUGCAGUCUCAGCCGGGCACAGUGGCAUUUGACUGUAAUCCCAGUUAUUCAGGAGGCUGAGGCAGGAGGAUAGGAGCACUUGAGCCCAGGAGUUCAAGUGCAGCCUGGGCAACACAGCAAGCCCCCAUCUCUAAACAAUAAGCGUACAGUCUGUCUACAGUCUCCCAACACUUUGGGAGGCAGAGGCGGGAGGAUUGCUUGAGCACAAGAGUUCAAGAACAGCCUAGGCAACGUGGGGAGACUCUGUCUCUACAAAAAUAAAAAAAAUUAGCCAGCAGGGUAGUGUGCACCCAUGGUCCCAGCUAUGUGGGAGGCUGAGAUGGGAGGAUCCCUUGGGCCCAAGAGGUCAAGGCUGCAGUGAGUUGUGAUUGCGCCACUGCACUCCAGCCUGGGUAACAGAGCGAGACGCUGUCUUUAAAAAAAGAGAGAGAGAGUAGACUUAGCUCCAAGUCUGGAGCUUUUGUUUAUUUUUUUCUUUAUAAAAAUUUUUUAACUUUAUAGAAAUGGGAUCUCACUAUGUUGCUCAGACUUGUGUUGAACUCCUGUUUAGCACCAUCUCUUACAAGUGUUAGGCAGCUCUGCUCCUCUCACUUGUCUGGGAUUCUGAGGUUCUUCCCUAAAGUGCUCAUCCUGAGCUAAUGGGGGAUAGGGCUGGAGAGAGAACAGAGGUGGUUAGCUGCCAGAAUGAGGUGGGAAGAUGGGGAUCAGCAGCCUUUGUGAAGAAAAGAAGUAUGAGUCCCAGGGUGUUAAAAGGUGGAUGGGCAAUAAAAUCUAUUACAUACGGGAUUCAUGCUAAAUGAGUAGAUUUUAGCUUCUCUUGCCACAAUAAAAAAAAAUGGAUAACUGUGUG
ensembl:lncRNA